UACGUAGGGGGCUAGCGUUGUCCGGAAUCAUUGGGCGUAAAGCGCGCGUAGGCGGCCCGGUAAGUCCGCUGUAAAAGUCAAAGGCUCAACCUUUGAAUGUCAGUGGAUACUGCCGGGCUAGAGUCCGGAAGAGGCGAGUGGAACUCCUGGUGUAGCGGUGAAUGCGCAGAUAUCAGGAAGAACACCAACGGCGAAGGCAGCUCGCUGGGACGGUACUGACGCUGAGAGCGAGAACGUGGGGAGCGAACAGG
rnacentral:rRNA from 1 species